rnacentral:rRNA from 1 species
AGUGAACGCUGGCGGUAGGCCUAACACAUGCAAGUCGAACGGCAGCACAGUAAGAGCUUGCUCUUACGGGUGGCGAGUGGCGGACGGGUGAGGAAUACAUCGGAAUCUACUUUUUCGUGGGGGAUAACGUAGGGAAACUUACGCUAAUACCGCAUACGACCUACGGGUGAAAGCAGGGGAUCUUCGGACCUUGCGCGAUUGAAUGAGCCGAUGUCGGAUUAGCUAGUUGGCGGGGUAAAGGCCCACCAAGGCGACGAUCCGUAGCUGGUCUGAGAGGAUGAUCAGCCACACUGGAACUGAGACACGGUCCAGACUCCUACGGGAGGCAGCAGUGGGGAAUAUUGGACAAUGGGCGCAAGCCUGAUCCAGUCAUACCGCGUGGGUGAAGAAGGCCUUCGGGUUGUAAAGCCCUUUUGUUGGGAAAGAAAAGCAGCAGGUUAAUACCCCGCUGUUCUGACGGUACCCAAAGAAUAAGCACCGGAUAACUUCGUG